AUGAAUAAUCCAAAUUUUUUAAGCACUUAAAAAAUUAAUUUAAAAUUAAUUACUAUAUCUUACUCUUUUAGCAAAAGGGCCAACAUAAUCUUAAAAAUUAUACAAUUUAGUGUCAAAAGUGGCAGCAGAUAAAAUUGCAGUGACUUACAAUUUGAUUUACAGGUCAAUGAAGACAUUGAAGUUGAAGUCAAGGCAGAUGAAUAAUAAAGUAAUGUAAUUCUCGGUGAACCGAUA
rnacentral:lncRNA from 13 species